GGCAGUCUGGCAUAGUGGUAAGGAGCUGGGCUUAUAACCAAAAGGUUCCCGGUUCAAUUCCCUGCUAGGGCACUGCUG